rnacentral:lncRNA from 1 species
CAUAAAAAAAUGAAUAAAUAAAUAAAAUAAAGGUAUUAUGUCCAUCUACAACUAUAAAAAUAAACAAAUAUUUUUUUUUUAAAAAAGACAUUGGUCUGAUGUGCUCUUUACAUUUUAUUGAUAGACAUUAAAAUACACAACUAUCAAAAAUAACAUUUACCUGUUGUGAAAGUUCAAAUUUUAUUCUACAAAAGGAUGGAUGUUUAAAUCUUAACCCCCAGUUUAAAUCUUAAUCCCUGCAUAUGGGGACUUACAUGGAAAUACGGUCUUUGCAGAUGUCACCAAAUUGAGGUCAUGCUGGAUUAGGGUGGGCUUUACUCCAAAGACUGGGGUCUUUAAAAGAGGAAAAUUUGGAGACAGACAUAAAGCCCGGGGAGAACACAGGAGGGAGGCAGAGACUGGUAUGCAGAUAGACCCUGAGGACUGGGGGAGAUCUCCAGAGGCCAGAUGGAGGCAAGGAGGAUCCUAGAACCUCUAGAGGUCGCUGCCCUUUUGAUUUCAGACGUGUGGCCUCCAGAACUGUGAGAGCAAACCUCUGUUGUUUAAAGCCACCCGCUUGGUCGCGAUUUCUGCAGCCCUAGGAAAUGCCGACCCGCUGUUCUACCUAAGGUCCGUACACUGACCCACCAGUGGGAGGCGCUAACACUUGGGGGAGCGCCGGGCUGGGUGCUCCGUGACCCCGCCCCAGAUCAGUCACGUUCACACUCAGUUAUGACCUAAUUAGAGGUUAUGACAUUAAAAGAGGUUAGUGCUCCUCUUUAUCAGUGUGAGAAGGUGCUGUGUGAGCCAGGUUUGAAGGGAUCCAUUCUGAAAGCCAUCAUGUCUGUGCAUCUGAGCUGGCUGUUCAUACCUGUCUAUCCCGGAGCCAGAGUCUGGGGCGUGGUGAUUGGUCUCCUAGUUGUACACCUGGGCAUACUUUGCCCGGUGGAGGGCUAUUGCUGGAUGCUCUCUGGGGUUGGUUUUAUCUUGUGAUGAGUCCUUUCGGAUUGUAGCCCAAAUUGACUGGCUUUUAUUACCUUUGGCUCAGCAGUUUUUAAACCAAUAAGUGCAUGUUCCUACGCUCCCCAUUCCCACAUUUUGUCAUAGGAGAAUGCCCUUCCAUCUGCAUCUGUAUUUUCCAACCAUAGUGCUGAAUUAUCCGCAAUCUCUAACUUGAAUUCUCAGAAUUAUGUAGGCAUAUUUAAUACAGACUUAAAAUGUUAAAUAAACUGAAAGUGUUUUUGGUAAAUCUUUUUUCAUUGUUUAUCACAAGUCUACAUGAAGAAUUUGUAGGUAAGCCCCUUACAAUACAAAUUUCAAUGCGUCUUCUGUGUAAGGGUAGGCUGACUGUUAACACGGACCCAAAUGUUUACUCAGUAAAUAUUUCUCAAGCCCCCCUCUAGGCCAAGUACCAUGCCAGACCUUGCUGUGCUUCCUCACUUGUACCAAACCAUCUGCCAUAUGGAACCUGGGAAGGAUUGGUGUCCCAGAUUAUGAGAACUUCAUAAGGAAGGAAACUUAAGGACAGCCUCACUGCUUGCUAGCUUUAGAAUGGUGCUGGCCUAUAGUAUGUGCUCAAUAACAUCAGUUUCCCUUCCUGUCAAUUCAUUCCAGAAGCAGCUUGGUAUAUGGCUCCAUAGCCAGUUCUUUUUUAGGAUACUGAUGGCUUAGGACCCAUUCAUUCUGAUGGCUUAGGACCCAAAGAGAGGAGAUUCAGGAGAGGCCAUCAAGACAGAAGUGCAGAGUUCCAGGUCUCCAAAGACAUCCUGCAGCACUUUACUAGAUGCACCACUAGCAUACACCCUUAGGCUUUCACCUCACUGGGUCCUAGUGCCCCCAAAAUGCUGUCCCAUUCUCUUGGGAUAGUGUUCAGAGCCUGCAGUCCAUGAAGCACUGGGCUCCUGACAACAUCUUUUUUUUUUUUAAUAGCUUUUUGAAAUGUAAUUCACACAACUUUCCCACUUAAGAAUACAAUUCAGGGGGCUGGGGUUGUAGCUCAGCAGUAGAGCUCUUGCCUAGCAUGUGUGAGGCCCUGGGUUCGAUAAAUAAAUAAAUAAAUAAAAAUAAGUCAUUCUGUUCAACUACAAUUAAAAAAAAUUUUAAAAAUACAAUUGAAUGGCUUUUGCCAUAUUCAUAGAGAUAGGUAGUCAUCAGCCAAGUCAACUAGAGAGCAUUUUUAUUACCUUAAAAAGAAGCCAUAUACUCUUUAGCUAUGCGCCCUACACCCUAACCUCAAUCCCUAAGCAACACUAAUCUCCUUUUUGUCUCUAUAGAUUGCCUAUCCUGGACAUUCCAUAUAAAUCGAAUCAUGAGGUAGAAUCACCAUAUGAUCAAGCAAUUGCAUUCCUAGGUAUACACUCUAAAGAAAUGCAAAGAAGUGUCUAUACAAAAACCAGUAUAUGAAUAUUUAUGACAGUAUUAUUCAUAUUAGCCAAAAAGUGGAAACAACUCAAAUGGCUAUCAACUAAUGAAUGGGGGGGGGGAAAUGUGACAUUCUAUACAAAGGAAUAUUACUUGGGCACUAACAGGAAUUAGUUACUGACACCUGCUACAGUGUGAAUGAACCUGGAACACUAUGCUAAGUGAAAGAAGCCAGCCAUGAAAGAACACAUAUUAAAUGAUUUCAUUUUCAUAUUGUUCGAUGAAAGUGUAUAGAAAUACAAUUGAUUUUGUUUUCUGCGAUCUUGUUGAACUGAUGUGUUAGUUCCAAUAAUUUUUAAUUAGAUUCCUUAGCAUUUGGUACAUAUAAGAGAUACUUUUACUUUUUCAUAGCGAUCAGGAAGCCUUUAUUUUCUCUUUCUUACCCAAUUUUCCUGGCUGGAACCUCCAGAAUGAUAUUAAUAAAAGUGGCAAGAAUGGUCAUCCUUGGCUUGUUCCCACUCUUAGGGGGACAGCAUUCAUUCUUUCACCAUUAACUAUGAUGUCAGCUACAGGGUUUUGCAGAUACCCUUUGUUAGGCUGAGGAAGUUCCCUGGUUUGUUGAGUGAUUUUAUCAUGAAAGCAUUUUGGAUUUUGUCAAAUAUUUUUCUGUAUCUCUUGGGAUGAUCGAGUAGUCUUUGGGUUGUUUCAGUUCUUCUGUUGAAAUGGCUUGUAACAUUACUUGGGGAUGUUAAUUAACAUUGCAUUCCUAGGACAAAUCCUUCUUGGUCAAGGUAUAUAAAUAAAUCUUUUUAUAUGUGGCUGGGUUCCAUUUUGCUAAUAUUUUCUUUUGAGGAUUUCCUUAUCCACAUAAAUAAAAUGUUGGUCUAUAGUUUUCUUAGGAUGUCCAUCUGGUUUUGGCAUCCGGGUAACACUGGCUUCAUAGAAUUGGUUAGAAAGUUAUUCUUUCCUCUUUCACUUUUUGGAAGAAUUUGUGAAGAGUUGGCAUUAUUGUUUUUUUCCUUUCCAUGUUGAUAGAAUUCACCUAUAAAGUCAUUUGGGCUUGGACAUUCUUUGUGGAAAGUUUUCAUUUUAUUACUAAUCCAAUCUCUUUAUUUGCAGUAUGUCUUCUCAGAUUGUGUCUUUAUUUUUGAGUCAGUUCCAAUAGUUAAUCCCUUCCACUUAAGUUACAUAAUUUACUGACACAUGGUUAUUCAUGUAUCCCUUAAUAAUUUUUAUUUGUCUAAAAUUGGUAGUAAUAUUUCCUUUUUCAUUUCUGAUUCUAGUGAUUUGAAUUGUUGUCUUCUCCCCUUUUUUGGGUCAAUUUAGCUAGAGAUUUGUUAAUCCUAAUGAUCUUUUUGAGGAAUUGCUUUUGGCUUCAUUAUUUUAUUGAAUGACUUUUGGCUCAAAUCUUUGUUAUUUCCUUUUUUACUGCUUGCUUUAAUUUUAAUUUGCUCUUUUUUCCUAGGGUCUUAAGACAUUAUUCAUUUGAGAUCUGUCUUGCUUUGAAAUGUAUUUAUAGCAAUGAUUUUUAUCUCUAAGCACUGCUUUAGCUCACGCCCCCUGUACUGGGUUUUAUUUCCUGUCCAGUUCCAUGUGUCUCCUCAACUGUGAGAAAUUCUGCUAGUUCUCCCAGUUCUAAUUUUUUCGAUACCUUCAUUGUGGGAGGAAUCCAAACAUGGAGAAGACGUUUGGAUCUUG